rnacentral:rRNA from 1 species
GAUGAACGCUGGCGGCGUGCCUAAUACAUGCAAGUCGAGCGAACAGACGAGGAGCUUGCUCCUCUGACGUUAGCGGCGGACGGGUGAGUAACACGUGGAUAACCUGCCUAUAAGACUGGGAUAACUUCGGGAAACCGGAGCUAAUACCGGAUAAUAUAUUGAACCGCAUGGUUCAAUAGUGAAAGACGGUUUUGCUGUCACUUAUAGAUGGAUCCGCGCCGCAUUGGGUAGUUGGUAAGGUAACGGCUUACCAAGGCAACGAUGCGUAGCCGACCGGAGAGGGUGAUCGGCCACACUGGAACUGAGACACGGUCCAGACUCCUACGGGAGGCAGCAGUAGGGAAUCUUCCGCAAUGGGCGAAAGCCUGACGGAGCAACGCCGCGUGAGUGAUGAAGGUCUUCGGAUCGUAAAACUCUGUUAUUAGGGAAGAACAAAUGUGGAAGUAACUAUGCACGUCUUGACGGUACCUAAUCAGAAAGCCACGGCUAACUACGUG